UUCACAUACAUAUUUAUGCAGCUAAUCGACGUCAUUGACAGGCUAUGACGGCAUCCUUAUUCGUCGCCACCGGUGUUUUAGCUAGCAAAACGGUGUGGCCGAUUAGGAGUGACACGAUAAUGACAACGUGCACAACUAUUAGAGGACACACAGGAAAAAUAAGAAUGGUCUCUUGGCAGCCACCCUUCCACUGGGAUCAUUUCUGAUGAGGCAUCCCCAAACACCAGAUGGAUCAACUGAAGAGCCAUGUGCAUCAUUCAGACCCAUGGUUGCAGACCAAUCCCUCACUUCCCCUUUGGCACAUGGUGAUGUGUGGCACAAUUCGUAAUAUGAGUGGCCCAUCUCAGAGCAGCAGAGCAAGGUCCGUGAGGGAGCAAACCAUUUUUAAUGGAACUAAAAUGCCCUCAAGCAGGCUUUAUAAUUGGACAAUUGGAGAAUGAUAUAAAUGAUAACACUUAAACAAUAAAA